rnacentral:rRNA from 1 species
GGUCAAGCGAACAAGUGCAUGUGGUGGAUGCCUUGGCGAUCACAGGCGAUGAAGGACGCGGUAGCCUGCGAAAAGCUACGGGGAGCUGGCAAACGAGCUUUGAUCCGUAGAUGUCCGAAUGGGGAAACCCACUCCUUUUGGAGUAUCCAUGGCUGAAUACAUAGGCCAUGCGAAGCGAACGCGGUGAACUGAAACAUCUAAGUAACCGCAGGAAAAGAAAUCAACCGAGAUUCCCAAAGUAGUGGCGAGCGAAAUGGGAUGAGCCUUGCACUCUUUAUUUGUAUUGUUAGCCGAACGCUCUGGAAAGUGCGGCCAUAGCAGGUGAUAGCCCUGUAGGCGAAAACAGUAUGAAAGAACUAGGUGUGCGACAAGUAGGGCGGGACACGUGAAAUCCUGUCUGAAGAUGGGGGGACCAUCCUCCAAGGCUAAAUACUCGUGAUCGACCGAUAGUGAACCAGUACCGUGAGGGAAAGGCGAAAAGAACCCCGGGAGGGGAGUGAAAUAGAUCCUGAAACCGCAUGCAUACAAACAGUCGGAGCCUCGUAAGGGGUGACGGCGUACCUUUUGUAUAAUGGGUCAGCGACUUACGUUCAGUAGCAAGCUUAACCGUAUAGGGCAGGCGUAGCGAAAGCGAGUCCGAAUAGGGCGUUCAGUUGCUGGGCGUAGACCCGAAACCAGGUGAUCUAUCCAUGGCCAGGAUGAAGGUGC